ensembl:lncRNA
UAGAGCAAACGUUCAGCUGCAUUUCAUUUCCCUGCGUCUCUCACUCACGCGUCUCUCUCACAUAACGUUACUCGCGCGCGCACAGCCCUCCCCUCCGUGCACACCGCGUCUCCAUGAGAACGAGUGUUGGAAGCAAGUUCGCGAAAGAUCUUAAAAUCUGUGUUUGCUUCACUAAACCUACAUUCUUCUGCAAGGCAUCUGACUUUUGUAAGGUAUGAGGCUUUUAUUCCGGAUUUCCAUGCUGAACGAAGGCCAGGAGAAAUGGCUCGGUGCAGAAAUAAUAGAUCAUCAGAUUGACCUAGUUUGCAGGACCGCGGGUGCUUGCGAAGGAUAAUUAUCUUCUUUGAAUCGUUUCCAUCAAUGCAUCAGUCAAUCAAUCUUCACCAACACCACACACCAUCAGCAACUCCAUUUUGUUGUUUCUUCUAAUGGAAACGGCUCUCCAUGAGAGUUCUGAUGAGUUCGAGUGAUGAACGAGGACACAGUUUGGUGAGAGGUACCAGUCCCUGGGUCCCCGUCCCCUAUCCAUACACAAUGUCCUUCGGCUCUCGCAGGCGCAUCAUGUACCGCCGGAGCGGACAGAUGAAGAAGAGGAUAUUAAGUGACUCUAUCUAACAUCCAGGACACAAUGGCGGUGAUUGAUGGAGGACAAAGUGGGAACAGCAGGACGGAGGAUGGGAGGGGGGUGUCCGUUGGGGGUCUCUGUCGAGAGCUGGUGUGCCGUCCCCGUCCGCCGUGUUUACUCACUGAUGCUCUCGACAAGACAGCCAUUGACACUCGGAUGGAUGAGUCCCGAUCUGCCGCGCAGAGCCAGAGGUUAGCGGGGCUGGAAUAUAGAGCUCCUCCACGACACGCUCUCUUCACCUAAUCUUCCGGCAAAAUAUUUAUCAUUAUCAAUUGGGGCCUGCUCUCUGACAUUAGAAUAGCACGUAUGGAUAAACCCCGGGAGGAUUAUCGAUCCGCCCGGCAGCAGCUUACACAGCCGGCCGUGAAAGACUCGGGGUCAUGCGGGACAAUAAGAAUAAAAGCAUGGUAUAUCCAGCCCUCCGCACAGGUUUAUUAAGUAAAACAAUGAACCAAAUCACA